rnacentral:rRNA from 1 species
UACGGAGGGUACGAGCGUUGUUCGGAAUCAUUGGGCGUAAAGGGCGUGUAGGUGGUCUAUUAAGUCAUGUGUGAAAGCCCUCAGCUUAACUGGGGAAGUGCGCAUGAAACUGACAGGCUAGAGUACCGAAGAGGAAGGUGGAAUUCCCGGUGUAGCGGUGAAAUGCGCAGAUAUCAGGAGGAACACCGGUGGCGAAGGCGGUUCUCUGGGCAUUACCUGACGCUGAGGAGCGAAAGUGCGGGGAGCGAACAGG